rnacentral:rRNA from 1 species
GACGUAGGAUGCAAGCGUUGUCCGGAUUUAUUGGGCGUAAAGAGCUCGUAGGCGGUUUGUCGCGUCUGCUGUGAAAACCUAAGGCUCAACCUUGGGCUUGCGAGUGGGUACGGGCAGACUAGAGUACUGCAGGGGGAGACUGGAAUUCCUGGUGUAGCGGUGGAAUGCGCAGAUAUCAGGAGGAACACCGGUGGCGAAGGCGGGUCUCUGGGCAGUAACUGACGCUGAGGAGCGAAAGCGUGGGGAGCGAACAGG